rnacentral:rRNA from 1 species
UACGUAGGGGGCAAGCGUUGUCCGGAUUCAUUGGGCGUAAAGAGCGUGUAGGCGGCCAGGUAGGUCGGUUGUGAAAACUGGAGGCUCAACCUUCAGAGGUCGACCGAAACCAUCUGGCUAGAGUCCGGGAGAGGAGAGUGGAAUUCCUGGUGUAGCGGUGAAAUGCGCAGAUAUCAGGAAGAACACCCGUGGCGAAAGCGGCUCUCUGGAACGGUACUGACGCUGAGGAACGAAAGCGUGGGGAGCGAACAGG